rnacentral:rRNA from 1 species
UAAGGAAUAUUGGUCAAUGGACGCAAGUCUGAACCAGCCAUGCCGCGUGAAGGAUGAAGGUCCUCUGGAUCGUAAACUUCUUUUAUCUGGGACGAAAACGGGAUUUUUAUCUCAAUUGACGGUACCAGAGGAAUAAGCACCGGCUAACUCCGUGCCAGCAGCCGCGGUAAUACGGAGGGUGCGAGCGUUAUCCGGAUUUACUGGGUUUAAAGGGUGCGUAGGUGGGCUUAUAAGUCAGUGGUGAAAUCUCCGAGCUUAACUUGGAAACUGCCGUUGAUACUAUAGGUCUUGAAUUAUCUGGAGGUAAGCCGAAUAUGUCAUGUAGCGGUGAAAUGCUUAGAUAUGACAUAGAACACCAAUUGCGAAGGCAGCUUACUACAUAUAAAUUGACGCUGAGGCACGAAAGCGUGGGGAUCAAACA